rnacentral:rRNA from 1 species
GACGAACGCUGGCGGCGUGCUUAACACAUGCAAGUCGAGCGGUAAGGCCCUUUCGGGGGUACACGAGCGGCGAACGGGUGAGUAACACGUGGGUGACCUGCCCUCAGCUCUGGGAUAAGCCUGGGAAACUGGGUCUAAUACUGGAUAUGACUCCACGGUGCAUGUCGUGGGGUGGAAAGCCUUGUGCGGCUGAGGAUGGGCCCGCGGCCUAUCAGCUUGUUGGUGGGGGGA